AUGGAAUCUGAAAAGCGAAGACUUGGAUGCGGAAAAAAAAGCGAUUUGGGACGAGCUUCAGAGGACUUUUGAGAUACCAGAUGAUCGUAGACGCUACAUACUUGGUUUGGCCGGCAAAAGAUAUAGAGGGUGGAAAGCUUUUUUGACAAACACUUAUCUUAAGGAUAAAGAUGGAAACUUUCUUGAAGAGGCACCGGGACGGCCAAAAAAGUAUGAGAUCUUCAUUGGUGAAGAAGAUUGGGCUAAGUUUGUAGAGCAAAGAGAUGAAGAUUUUCGGAAAAGGAGUGCCAAGAAUAGUGAGAGAGCAUCCAAACCCGCAUAUCCAUACAAAAAAGGGCGUUUGGGAUAUGCACGCUUGGAGGAUAAAAUUUUAGAGGAGACUAAAAGUGAGGAAACCUCACUUCCUGAACAUGUGUUGUGGAGGGAAGCUCGUGUGGGCAAGGAUCAUGCUGUCGAUCCCGAAGUUCAGAGAGUUUUUACUGAAUGUG